GAUGAACGCUGACAGAAUGCUUAACACAUGCAAGUCUACUUGAAUUUGGGUUUUUAACUUAGAUUUGGGUGGCGGACGGGUGAGUAACGCGUAAAGAACUUGCCUCACAGCUAGGGACAACAUUUAGAAAUGAAUGCUAAUACCUAAUAUUAUGAUAAUAGGGCAUCCUAUAAUUAUGAAAGCUAUAUGCGCUGUGAGAGAGCUUUGCGUCCCAUUAGCUAGUUGGAGAGGUAACGGCUCACCAAGGCGAUGAUGGGUAGCCGGCCUGAGAGGGUGAUCGGCCACAAGGGGACUGAGACACGGCCCUUACUCCUACGGGAGGCAGCAGUGGGGAAUAUUGGACAAUGGACCGAGAGUCUGAUCCAGCAAUUCUGUGUGCACGAUGAAGUUUUUCGGAAUGUAAAGUGCUUUCAGUUGGGAAGAAAGAAAUGACGGUACCAACAGAAGAAGUGACGGCUAAAUACGUGCCAGCAGCCGCGGUAAUACGUAUGUCACGAGCGUUAUCCGGAUUUAUUGGGCGUAAAGCGCGUCUAGGUGGUUAUAUAAGUCUGAUGUGAAAAUGCAGGGCUCAACUCUGUAUUGCGUUGGAAACUGUAUAACUAGAGUACUGGAGAGGUAAGCGGAACUACAAGUGUAGAGGUGAAAUUCGUAGAUAUUUGUAGGAAUGCCGAUGGGGAAGCCAGCUUACUGGACAGAUACUGACGCUUAAGCUCGAAGGUGCGGGUAUCAAACAGG
rnacentral:rRNA from 1 species